rnacentral:rRNA from 1 species
AACGAACGCUGGCGGCGUGCUUAACACAUGCAAGUCGAACGCGAAAGGGACUUCGGUCCUGAGUAAAGUGGCGCACGGGUGAGUAACGCGUAGAUAACCUAUCUUCACGUCUGGAAUAAUACGCCGAAAGGGGUACUAAUACCGGAUAUUCUUGCUUUUCAUAAGUUUUGCAAGGAAAGGUGGCCUCUGUAUAUGCUACUGCGGGAAGAGGGGUCUGCGUACCAUUAGCUAGUAGGUGGGGUAAUGGCCUACCUAGGCUACGAUGGUUAGCGGGUCUGAGAGGAUGAUCCGCCACACUGGCACUGGAACACGGGCCAGACUCCUACGGGAGGCAGCAGUGAGGAAUAUUGCGCAAUGGGGGAAACCCUGACGCAGCGACGCCGCGUGAGUGAGGAAGGCCUUCGGGUCGUAAAGCUCUGUCAAAGGGAAAGAAGUGCAUGAUGGCUAAUACCUGUCAUGUUUGACGGUACCCUUAAAGGAAGCACCGGCUAACUCCGUGCCAGCAGCCGCUGUAACAC